AUUGAACGCUGGCGGCAUGCCUUACACAUGCAAGUCGAACGGCAGCACGGGAGCAAUCCUGGUGGCGAGUGGCGAACGGGUGAGUAAUGUAUCGGAACGUACCUUUCAGUGGGGGAUAACGUAGCGAAAGUUACGCUAAUACCGCAUAUUCUGUGAGCAGGAAAGCAGGGGAUCGCAAGACCUUGCGCUGAUUGAGCGGCCGAUAUCAGAUUAGCUAGUUGGUGAGGUAAAGGCUCACCAAGGCGACGAUCUGUAGCGGGUCUGAGAGAAUGAUCCGCCACACUGGAACUGAGACACGGUCCAGACUCCUACGGGAGGCAGCAGUGGGGAAUUUUGGACAAUGGGCGCAAGCCUGAUCCAGCCAUGCCGCGUGAGUGAAGAAGGCC
rnacentral:rRNA from 1 species